rnacentral:tRNA from 1 species
GCCUGACUGGCUCAGUCGGUAGAGCAUGAGACUCUUGAGUUCAGGGUUGUGAGUUCAAGCCCCACAGUGGGCA